AUGAACGCUGGCGGCGUGCCUAAUACAUGCAAGUCGAGCGAACGGACGAGAAGCUUGCUUCUCUGAUGUUAGCGGCGGACGGGUGAGUAACACGUGGAUAACCUACCUAUAAGACUGGGAUAACUUCGGGAAACCGGAGCUAAUACCGGAUAAUAUUUUGAACCGCAUGGUUCAAAAGUGAAAGACGGUCUUGCUGUCACUUAUAGAUGGAUCCGCGCUGCAUUAGCUAGUUGGUAAGGUAACGGCUUACCAGGGCAACGAUGCAUAGCCGACCUGAGAGGGUGAUCGGCCACACUGGAACUGAGACACGGUCCAGACUCCUACGGGAGGCAGCAGUAGGGAAUCUUCCGCAAUGGGCGAAAGCCUGACGGAGCAACGCCGCGUGAGUGAUGAAGGUCUUCGGAUCGUAAAACUCUGUUAUUAGGGAAGAACAUAUGUGUAAGUAACUGUGCACAUCUUGACGGUACCUAAUCAGAAAGCCACGGCUAACUACGUG
rnacentral:rRNA from 1 species